CCCGCGCGCCUCCUCUCCUCCCACCCACGACGCCGCCGCCGCCACCCACACGCGUGCGAGAUGCGUCGCCGCCGCCGCCAUAGCCAUCCUCCGUCGCCCCCAUCUCGCCCGCCUCCCCCACAUUCCCAUUUCUGUCAGCAUCCCUGUGGCCGGCGCUGGCACUAGCAGCGGCAGGAGGCGGUGCGGGUUAGCGGCGGUGGGGGCAGCAACAGCAGCAGCGACAGACGUGCCGGUGUUGGGCCACCGGCCCGUGGAGGACAUGUGCAAGGUGUGCGUGGUACGCGGCGCGGCGGCGGAGGAGCGGGUGGAGGCGCUGCGGGUGAUGGAGACGUGGUCGUCGCAUCCCCAUCGACGGGAGGAGCGCAGGAACUACGAGCUCCCCUUCGGUGACCAGACCUUCUCCUCCUUUGCUCUUGGCAGCCACCGCUGCGCUCCCGUCAGCGCCGUCCUUGAGGUCUCACCUAUGUUCCAGGUUUGCUUCCUCUUGGAAGACAUGGGUGAAUCUGAGGAUGGAACGCAAGCUCCAUUAUGCUUCUCAACACUCAGGCUCCCCCCUUCUCUUUCUCUCUGAUCCGUGUUUUCUUUCUUAUAGUCAUUGUUGAUGCUUGAUUUGUUCAGAGAGGAUUUUCUCUGUAGCCUACAAGCUUUACAUUUGCCAACUAAGCUUAUAUUUCUAUUAAAUCACUAAUAGUCGGGUAUUUUCAACUAAAAAAUAAUAUAAAUAGCAUGGUAUUCUAACCUGCAGUUCUAGGCUGUGCAUAGUGAAAACUAUUUUGUAUCAACAGUUCAUUCAUGAGAAACAUUUAAAUUGCUUUAUCUAUGCGAUGGACAUUUAUUUGAUUGCAUAUGCUUGGUACACUCUUUCUGAGACACCGUUGCUAAACUGUAUUUAGAAAUAACUCAUGCACACUAAUUCCAUACUUGAAUGGUUAAUGGGCUCACUGUUCUAUAGUAGAAUUUCUACUUUUGUUUCUCUGAUAUUUGGUUUAUCUUCAGGCACUACCAAUAUACUGAACUAUGACUAAAAUUAUUUGGCAAACUUCAUGAGUGAGUUGAGAUUGAAGGUUAUUACUGGCUAUUGAUGUGAUGGCACCUAUCAUGGCAAACUUCACGAGUGACCAAAUAUCAGGUGGACCAGCAUCUGUGGGCUUUGUUCUAUUCGUCGGUCACCCUUGCCUUGGCACUAGCCGUGCAAUGGAAGAGGAGUGUGGUUAGGGUUUGGUUGUGCUUUCAAGAUCCGUUGAUGUCGUACCUGCUGUGGAACUUUGUCGUGUCUGUUUUCUGUGGCCGUUGUUAGGGUCUGCUCUUCUCUGGACUACGGUUCAAUAGAAAUAACUCAUGCAUUGCUAAUUCCCUACUUGAAAGCUACUAUUGUGAAGGCAACUGUCAUGGCAAACUUCACGAGUGAGCAAAUAUCAGGUUUAUGGCAAGCACCGACAUACACGAGUGAUUCAGAAUGUGUGCUUUGUAUCUAGGUUGCCCGAUGACCAGUUCAUUCCUCUCAGUCGGAUGCUUUAUUGGGUGUCGGCUGUAGAGACGGAAGAGGAGGUUGAUACAUCCUUGGCGCCUGCUGUAGCGACCACGACCACAUGUGUCUAAAAGAGAGAAUAUUGUAGGAAGGGUGGACUAUGAAGGGAAACACUGGUGUUCUAAGAUAGAUGUUCUGUGUUUGAGAUCUUUCCUUGGUAGCUGGAUGCCUUGGAGCAAUACAUUCAAGGUUUUUUGAUGCGUUCGUGCUCGUCGGUGGGACGGUGCAAGGCACAACUCCGUUGCGGUUCCUCGCCGGUUGGACGGUGUUCAGGCGCAACCCCGGCGCGCACUAAGUACUGCCUCGGCUACAGCCUCCCUCGCUAUGCUCCUGGAUUUGCAAGAUUGAUCAGUGGCGUUCGUGCUAGGGCGAUGAUGAUUAAUCGUGGCUGAAAUAAGUGUGCCUUUGAGCAAUUGUGGCACCUGUGCGUACUAGAUUGGAUCCUCACUCUUGUCUCAAGAAUCCUUUUUGAACUUGUGAUACUUGUUCUUGUCCUUGGAUGGUCAUUCUUGUUGAGUGAUAACCAGGGCAGCUCCACUGUAUGAACAGAUUGAUCUGGUGAUAAGAGAUGAUGGGGGUUAGGUUAUAUGAUCGAGGAAAUGUGAAUCUGAGCCCGCUAUGCAUCCCCUUGUUAGAGUCUGAACCGAAAUGGAGCUCUCCCGUGCGUUUGGAUUCUAGACUGUCGGAUCGAAAUCUCCUCGCGAUACAGGCUGUUGGAUCUCGAUCCAAAUCGCUGUGGGUCGUUGGAUAUUUACCGGAUCAACUUCGGCUGUAGGAUAAAAUUCCAAUGGCAACAAAAUGUAAAUACCGUGCCCCCACGAGGGCAUCUGGGUCAUUUUUCUUGGGGGGGGGGGUAUAAAAUGACCGCGGCUUCCUACGAUGAAAACCUAGCUGCCGCCUCCUCUCUCACUCGCUCUUGCAGCUGCCUCCCUCCCUCUCACGCAGGUGGUUCCCAUGGCGAUGGCGGCAGCGGACAUGGUGGAGGGCUGCAUAUCAGCGGCGCCGACAAUGGUGUCCGUGGCGGCUAUGCAAUGAACCCUGAACCAUUUUUUAUUUGUAUUUAAAGGUUUUGCUUAUUUAUGCUCAAGUGUUGUUCGUGCUAGGGCGAUGAUGAUUACCUUGGCUGGAAUUAGUGUGCCUUUGAGCAAUCGAGGCACUAGUGGGUAUCAAGUUGGAUCCUCCCUCUUGUCUCUAGAAUCCUUUUUGAUCAUGUGAUAGUUGUUGUUGUACUUCGAUGGUCAUUCUUGUUGAGUGAUAACCAGGGCAUCUCUACUGUAUAAACAGAUCGAUCUGGUGAUAAGAGAUGAUGGGGGUAGGUUAUAUGAUCGAGGAAAGGCAAAUCUGAGCCCACUAUGCAAUAAAACUGCAGCUACCUCCCCUAAUCCAAGAUGAGUGCUCUACGCUUACGGCUCAUGCUAACUGAACUGGUGAUGUUUCUUUCUUCACCUUGAUUGACCCCACAUGUUCCCCUAGUUGUCGCGUCGUCCUCGUCUUUGGCUUGCAAGGGACUAGAUCUGGUGUGAUUGAUUCUUCCUCUCGCAAGGUUAUGAUGGCUGACAAACAGCUCCAAGUUCAUGGGUCGCCAGGCUCGCCGAGUGAUGCUAGCUCCAACGAUGGUCUGUGAGCACUUACCCAGGUCAAUUGAUAUUUGUGGUGGCCUGGAAUGUUGUAAUCCUUUUGCUGUAUGUCAGAUUUCUAUUUGCUUGAUCAAACUUUGGCUGCAAUACGGUAGUAGGUAGAGAAGUAGGUUUUUGCCCUAAAGUUAUAUUAUCUAUUUACAAGUCUCUCAUGAAGGAGUACCACUCUAUGAACUUUUUGUGUUUGUGGUUUUUUAUACUUGAAA